rnacentral:rRNA from 1 species
AACGAACGUUAGCGGCGCGCCUAACACAUGCAAGUCGCACGAGAAAGGGCUUCGGCCCCGGUAAAGUGGCGCACGGGUGAGUAACACGUGGGUAACCUUCCCUCGAGCGGGGAAUAACAUUCCGAAAGGAGUGCUAAUACCGCAUAAGACCACGGCUUCGAAAGGAGCUGAGGUAAAAGCUGGCCUCUUCAUGAAAGCUAGCACUCGAGGAUGGGCCCGCGGCCCAUCAGCUUGUUGGUAGGGUAACGGCCUACCAAGGCUAAGACGGGUAACUGGUCUGAGAGGAUGAUCAGUCACACUGGAACUGAGACACGGUCCAGACUCCUACGGGAGGCAGCAGUGGGGAAUCUUGCGCAAUGGACGAAAGUCUGACGCAGCGACGCCGCGUGGGUGAUGAAGGCCUUCGGGUUGUAAAGCCCUGUGGGGAGAGACGAAUAAGUCUUGGCUAAUAUCCAAGAUGAUGACGGUAUCUCCUUAGCAAGCACCGGCUAACUCUGUGCCAGCCGCCGCAGUAAGAC